rnacentral:sRNA from 1 species
UUCCACAUUCUGGAUUUGUCCUUGUGCUAGUGUUUAACACACCCCUCCUCUCCUAUAUUUCUUGUGUGUUGGUGGUUAGAUUUAGAAACCUGAUUAGAUUCAUGUCCCACAUUUUUGGCAAGAAAAAUUCCCAGGUGGUUCUGUGAACUUCUUCUUGCGUCACAUCAGGCACUUGGUGUCUGGUGCCCCAGUUGUAGUGAUGUGAAGAUUGAUUAGCCAUCUGCAGCACUCCUAACAACCUCUCUUGAUCGCAUCCUGGGAUCACUGCCCUGGAAACAUCCUCUCCCUUUUCUUAGCCCCUGCUUUCUUCCCUUGCCUGCCUGGCUUCUAUGCUCCCAAGCCCAUCUUCUAGGCACCCAGAUUGAGGCUCCACGGCAAGCAGCAGGGACAGGGGCAGCAGGUAGCCUGACCCCAGGAAAGAGAUGUGGGUGACCUUGCAUGUCUGCAGGUUACAUCCACUACCAGCCUGCCCAGGACCGGCUGCAACCCCACCUCCUGGAGAUGCUGAUUCAGCUGCCGGCCAACUCAGUCACCAAGGUUUCCAUCCAGUUUGAGCGGGCGCUGCUGAAGUGGACCGAGUACACGCCAGAUCCUAACCAUGGCUUCUAUGUCAGGUGGGCUCCACCCCCACAGGCCACCUCUCAUCCCCCUGACCUAUCCUCUCUGCUGCUUACCCCUUGAUAGGGGAGCCAGAUGGGAACACGGGCCAUCUCUCUGCUUCUCUGUAGCCCAUCUGUCCUCAGCGCCCUUGUGCCCAGCAUGGUAGCAGCCAAGCCAGUGGACUGGGAAGAGAGUCCCCUCUUCAACAGCUUGUUCCCAGUCUCUGAUGGCUCUAACUACUUUGUGCGGCUCUACACGGAGCCGCUGCUGGUGAACCUGCCGACACCGGACUUCAGCAUGCCCUACAACGUGAUCUGCCUCACGUGCACUGUGGUGGCCGUGUGCUAUGGCUCCUUCUACAAUCUCCUCACCCGAACCUUCCACAUCGAGGAGCCCCGCACAGGUGGCCUGGCCAAGCGGCUGGCCAACCUUAUCCGGCGUGCCCGAGGUGUCCCCCCACUCUGAUUCUUGCCCUUUCCAGCAGCUGCAGCUGCCGUUUCUCUCUGGGGAGGGGAGCCCAAGGGCUGUUUCUGCCACUUGCUCUCCUCAGAGUUGGCUUUUGAACCAAAGUGCCCUGGACCAGGUCAGGGCCUACAGCUGUGCUGUCCAGUACAGGAGCCACGAGCCAAAUGUGGCAUUUGAAUUUGAAUUAACUUAGAAAUUCAUUUCCUCACCUGUAGUGGCCACCUCUAUAUUGAGGUGCUCAAUAAGCAAAAGUGGUCAGUGGCUGCUGUAUUGGACAGCACAGAAAAAGAUUUCCAUCACCACAGAAAGGUCGGCUGGCAGCACUGGCCAAGGUGAUGGGGUGUGCUGCACAG